rnacentral:rRNA from 1 species
AGAGUUUGAUCAUGGCUCAGAAUGAACGCUGGUGGCGUGCUUAACACAUGCAAGUCGUACGAGAACUCUUUAGCUUGCUAAAGAUAGUAAAGUGGCGCACGGGUGAGUAACGCGUGGGUAAUCUACCUCCGAAUCGGGGAUAACCCGCCGAAAGGGAGCUAAUACCGGAUAACAUCUUUGAGACUUCGGUUUUAAAGAUCAAAGAUGGUCUCUACAUGUAAGCUAUUGUUUGGAGAUGAGCCCGCGUACCAUUAGCUUGUUGGUAGGGUAACGGCCUACCAAGGCCGCGAUGGUUAGCUGGUCUGAGAGGAUGAUCAGCCACACUGGAACUGACACACGGUCCAGACUCCUACGGGAGGCAGCAGUGAGGAAUUUUGCGCAAUGGGGGAAACCCUGACGCAGCAACGCCGCGUGAGUGAUGAAGGCUUUCGGGUCGUAAAACUCUGUCAAGUGGGAAGAACCUGUUGGAUGUUAAUAUCAUCCAAUACUGACGGUACCACUAAAGGAAGCACCGGCUAACUCCGUGCCAGCAGCCGCGGUAAUACGGGGGGUGCAAGCGUUAUUCGGAAUUAUUGGGCGUAAAGGGCGCGUAGGCGGUCUCUAAUGUCAGAUGUGAAAGCCCGGGGCUUAACCCCGGAAGUGCAUUUGAAACUUAGGGACUUGAGUAUGGGAGAGGGAAGUGGAAUUCCUGGUGUAGCGGUGAAAUGCGUAGAUAUCAGGAGGAACACCAGUGGCGAAGGCGACUUCCUGGACCAAUACUGACGCUGAGGCGCGAAGGCGUGGGGAGCAAACAGGAUUAGAUACCCUAGUAGUCC